UUGGAGGGCAAGUCUGGUGCCAGCAGCCGCGGUAAUUCCAGCUCCAAUAGCGUAUAUUAAAGUUGUUGCAGUUAAAAAGCUCGUAGUUGAAUUUCGGGAUCAAUUUGUUGGUCGUGCCUCGGUACGUACUGGCAUUAUUGGUUUCUACCUUCUGAAGAACCUUGAUGUCAUUAAUUUGGUGUCUUGGGGAAUCAGGACUGUUACUUUGAAAAAAUUAGAGUGUUUAAAGCAGGCAUACGCUUGAAUACAUUAGCAUGGAAUAAUGAAAUAGGACGUUUGAUUCUAUUUUGUUGGUUUCUAGGAUCGACGUAAUGAUUAAUAGGGAUAGUUGGGGGCAUUGGUAUUCAAUUGUCAGAGGUGAAAUUCUUGGAUUUAUUGAAGACUAACUACUGCGAAAGCAUUUGCCAAGGAUGUUUUCGUUAAUCAAGAACGAAAGUUAGGGGAUCGAAGACGAUCAGAUACCGUCGUAGUCUUAACCAUAAACUAUGCCGACUAGGGAUCGGAUGAUGUUAAUUUUUUAAUGACUCAUUCGGCGCCUUACGGGAAAC
rnacentral:rRNA from 1 species